rnacentral:rRNA from 1 species
UACGUAGGGUGCAAGCGUUUGUCCGGAAUUAUUGGGCGUAAAGAGCUCGUAGGCGGUCUGUCGCGUCUGCUGUGAAAACUCAGGGCUUAACCCUGAGCUUGCAGUGGGUACGGGCAGACUAGAGUGCGGUAGGGGAGACUGGAAUUCCUGGUGUAGCGGCGAAAUGCGCAGAUAUCAGGAGGAACACCGGUGGGCGAAGGCGGGGUCUCUGGGCCGUAACUGACGCUGGAGGAGCGAAAGCAUGGGGAGCGAACAGG